ensembl:snRNA U2 U2 spliceosomal RNA
AUCACUUCUCAGCCCUUUGGCUAAGGUCAAGUGUAGUAUCUGUUCUUAACAAUUUUAUGUUUUGUAAAUUUCACUUCAAUUUUAAAAAGAAAGAAAGGUAAUAUAUGAAUUUGAAAACUCUUGCUACAAAGGAAAAACAAAGGCACCCUCUAGCUGCA